UACGUAGAAGACUAGUGUUAUUCAUCUUUAGUAGGUUUAAAGGGUACCUAGACGGUAUGAUUAGUCUUAAACAGGAUACGAUUAUACUAGAGUUAUAUAUGAGAAGGGGAGUAUUUAUGGAGUAGAGUUGAAAUUCUUUGAUCCACUGACGACUGGUAACGGCGAAAGCAACCUUUUAUCUAAUAACUGACGUUGAGGGACGAAGGCUCGGGUCACGAACAGG
rnacentral:rRNA from 1 species